rnacentral:lncRNA from 1 species
UGUAAUUAUUAUCAGCACCUCCUUCUUCUACCAUUGCCAUUUGAACUGAACUUUAGAAUAUACCCAACCUUUUCCUCUUUGUUUUCAGUUUUCUUUUUAGCUUUCUUUUGCUCUAACUAGCUAUAUGGCACUGCAUAUGUGUGCUAAAUUUGUGUAUGCAUACAGCUCUUUUAUAGAGCUCAAAUAAACUUAGCCAUUAUAAUAUUAUUCGUGUAAUAAUUCCCUUUCGCUUAUUGUGGCCAAUCAUCAGCUUCCUCUUACCACCAAACUUUCAUUUUCGGUUCAAACGACAGAUAUGACCUCAUUUUUUU